UACAGAGGUCUCAACCGUUGUUCGGAUUCAUUGGGCGUAAAGGGUGCGUAGGCGGUCGUGUAAGUCGGAUGUGAAAUCCCGGGGCUCAACCCCGGAACUGCAUUCGAUACUGCAUGGCUAGGGUACUGGAGAGGAAACUGGAAUUUACGGUGUAGCAGUGAAAUGCGUAGAUAUCGUAAGGAAGACCAGUGGCGAAGGCGAAUCUCUGGACAGUUACUGACGCUGAGGCACGAAGGCCAGGGGAGCAAACGGG
rnacentral:rRNA from 1 species